UCGGGGCUGGGAUCACCGGGAUCGGGGCUGGGAUCACCAGGAUCGGGGCUGGGAUCACCGGGAUCGGGAUCACCGGGAUCGGGGCUGGGAUCACCGGGAUCAGGGAUGGGAUCAUCGGGAUCAGGGAUGGGAUCAGUGCAGGAAUCGGGGAUGGGAUCAUUGGGAUCGGGGCUGGGAUCACUGGGAUCGGGGCUGGGAUCACCGGGAUCGGGAUCACCGGGAUCGGGGCUGGGAUCACCAGGAUCGGGGCUGGGAUCACCGGGAUCAGGGACGGGAUCAUCGGGAUCAGGGCUGGGAUCAGUGCGGGAAUCGGGGAUGGGAUUAUUGGGAUCGAGGAUGGGAUCACCGGGGUCAGGGAUGGGAUCACCAGGAUCGGGGCUGGGAUCAUCAGGAUCGGGGAUGGGAUCAUCGGGAUCGGGGAUGGGAUCACCGGGAUCAGGGAUGGGAUCACCAGGAUCGCGGAUCGCGGCUGGGAUCAUUGGGAUCGGGGAUGUGAUCAGCACUGGAAUCGAGGAUGGGAUCAGAGCAGGGAUCAGUGAGAUCAGCACCGGGAUCAGAGCAGGAUCAGGGCUGGGAUCACAGGGAUCAGGGCUGGGAUCAGAGCGGGGAUCAGUGGGAUCAGCACCGGGAUCAGUGCUGGGAUCACCGGGAUCAGCACCAGGAUCAGCACAGGGAGCAGCGCAGGGAUCAGCGUGGGGAUCAGCAGGAUCAGCGCAGGGAUCAGUGCUGGGAUCACCAGGAUCAGCACCGGGAUCACCGGGAUCAGCAGGAUCCCAGGGAUCACUGGGAUCUCAGGGAUCAGCAGGAUCUGAGCGCAGGGAUCAGCACAGGGAUCACCGGGAUCCGCACCAGGAUUACAGGGAUCCCCAGGAUCACAGGGAUCAGCUGGACCAUCGGGAUCACAGGGAUCACUGGGACCACCACUGGAGCCACAGGGAUCCCCAGGAUCACAGGGAUCACGGGGAUCCCAGGGAUAACAAGGAUAACUGGGAUCUCAGGGAUCGUCACGGGGAUCACAGGGACCGGGAAGCUCCAGGCGGCCCCUCAGGAUCAUCCAUGGAGCGCCAUUCCCUGUUCUCCCGCGCAGCCGGGAGCAGCAGCACGUGGCCAGGGCUCCGGGAUCCCUCCGGAUCCCUCCAGAUCCCUCCGGAUCCCUCUGGAUGCAGCAGCUCAGCGGGGCCAGGAAGGGAGGCGGGAUCGGAGGAGUGGGGCAGGAAAAGGGGGAUUGGCCUUCCACUCCCCAAAUCCCAGAGCUUCACCCCAAAUCCCGCUGCUUUACCCCAUGGAAUACCGGGAUGGGAUGGGCUCUGCAAUUCCACAAUUCCCAAAAUUCUCCUUCCUUCCCUCCUGAAUUCCCUCCUGAAUUCCUGAAUUCCUUCUUUUGUGAAUUCCUUCCUGAAUUCCUUCCUGAAUUCCUGAACUUCUUCCUGAAUUGCUGAAUUCCUUCCUUUGUGAAUUCCUUCCCGAAGUCUUGAAUUCCUUCAUGAAUUUCUUCCUAAAUUCUUGAAGUCCUUCCUGAAUUCCCAGAUUCCUUCCGGAACUCCUCCCCGAAUUACUUCUUCCCCCCCCCACCCCGAACUCCUGAAUUCUU
rnacentral:lncRNA from 1 species